GCCGAAAAUGAGAGGGAAAAUGAGAGAGUGGAUCGGAUGAGAGGGAAGAGAGGAGAUCUAUCGAGCAGGGGGGAGCUGAGAGGAAGAAAGAAGGAGAGGAAAGAAAGAAAGAAGCCGAAAAGAGGAAGAGAAAGGACAGAAAAAGGAAGAAGGAGAAGAAAAGAGAGGAGUGGCUGAACGGGACAAAGAAAGAGAGCUAAAGAGCGGUCGCCGCGAGGGAAGAAGAAAAGAAGAGAGGGUCGGGGGCAGGAGAGUGUGGAAGCUGAAUCGAAAGGAAGAAUAAGGAAGAAGGAAUGGCCCGAGAUGCCGUGUGACAGCAGAGACCGAGGCAAGCAAGGUAAAGGCAUAAAAAUCUUCAUUCCAAUCACAAGCAUGCAAGGGAGCUGCGAGGUGACUGAGAGGAGGCAACGGGGAGUCAAGCCGAGGCUAAAUCGCCCACGUUGAAAGGUAAAUCGAUUUUUUCCAUGUUUUGGUGGUGGUUGAGCGGCAGUGGGGAGGGGGGCUGGUAUUGGACUGGCUGCAUAGGCUCGGCUGAGCCACCCACCUACGCGGGAACCGAGGAGGUUUCCUCGGGAAUAGGAAAAGAUGAGUCAUUCGGGAAGCCGAAGGGUCUUCCCCGAGCACAGGAACCUGAUCCACCAUUUUGGGGUUUCGAUUCGCCGUUUGGAAAGUUGAAAAGUUUUCCUCGAAAAACAGAAAUCCGAUUUGUUAUCUGAGAAGCUGAAAAGUCUUUAUCAGAAAAUGGAAAUCUGAUUCGUCAAACGCAGAGUCGAAAAAUUUUUCGGAUACAGAUCUUGAUAAUUUCGGGUAUUACGUUAUAUGGUGGUUAGAACCCGUAAUUUGAUUAAAUCAAUUUUUAGUAUUUCAAAGUAUUUUAAUUAAAUUAUGUCGUGUGUACGAAAAAAUUUGGACAUUCAGACGAAUCCGAAAAGACGUGUA